GACGAACGCUGGCGGCGUGCCUAAUACAUGCAAGUAGAACGCACAGUUUAUACCGUAGCUUGCUACACCAUAGACUGUGAGUUGCGAACGGGUGAGUAACGCGUAGGUAACCUGCCUGGUAGCGGGGGAUAACUAUUGGAAACGAUAGCUAAUACCGCAUAAUAUUAAUUAUUGCAUGAUAAUUAAUUGAAAGGUGCAAUUGCACCACUACCAGAUGGACCUGCGUUGUAUUAGCUAGUAGGGGAGGUAACGGCUCACCUAGGCGAAGAUAAAUAGCGGACCUGGGAGGGUGAUCGGCCACACUGGGACUGAGACACGGCCCAGACUCCUCCGGGAGGCAGCAGUAGGGAAUCUUCGGCAAAGGACGAAAGUCUGACCGAGCAACGCCGAGUGAGUGAAGAAGGUUUUCGGAUCGUAAAGCGCUGUUGUAAGAGAAGAACGGGGGUGAGAGUGGAAAGUUCACACUGUGACGGUAUCUUACCAGAAAGGGACGGCUAACUACGUG
rnacentral:rRNA from 1 species